rnacentral:lncRNA from 10 species
GAACUUCUCACCCUCUUUCCUGAUCCUCCGGAGUUUGCUCUCUUAAAAGUAACCUUUUAAAUCCUGGAAAAUGAUUCUGUUUUCUCAAUUGACUAUGGCUGCUCACAGAGUGUCUGUAGCUCUCUUCAGUGACUCAGCACUUUACAGAGAAAAAUUGUUCUGGAGGGAAUGUUAGGGCAGUCCACAUAGCCGCUUACAGGAAAGAAAGAGAUCAAAUCCUGCCUACAGGGAAAGCUGAAACACCAAACUUAAAUGCUAAAUGGAAACAAUAACAACAAUAACAACAACAACAACAACAACAAACGACCAACAGAUGAUGAAAACCCCGUGAAGCAAGGUAAAGAAGGGAAGAGCAGAAGUUCUCCUAGGUAUGAACAGGGCAGGUUCUGAAAAGCUGUGUGUAAAUCUCUCAGUAUCCAUGAGCAAAGAGGCCCUAAUCAGGUGAUCACACUGCUGUGGCUGUGAUGACUCUCACCAUCUCUACUCUGGAGGACAUGGCUGCUAUCUGGCAGUGACCGCUGCCCACAAAUAUGGAUGUGGGCUCUACCAUAAUUUCCCCUUACAGAAGAACAAAGACUAAUGGAAGGAGAGUCCAACACGGAAGAUACAUUGCUUCUGCAGUUCAAGUCCAUUUUGCUGUAGGUCACCUAUGGGCCUAGCCACCUUCCUGACUUGUCAUCAGCUUUUCUCUGUGUUGUCAGGCCCAGGUCAGGACACCUGGCUCCUCACAGUCACCGAGUCUCAAACCCAGAGAAAAAAGAAAAAAUUUCUCCUCACCUCAGACUAAUUCCUACUCACUAAGUCCUCAUUUUUUGUCCCAGGAUGAAUAUCUUCCUAGUAUAAUGGACAGUGGAGAACUUCUAUCUGUUAUAGGGAAACCCAACUACUAUAUAAAAGAGUGAGACUGGCUCUGUGAUCCCAAGAAGAAAAUAACAAAGAUGAUGCUUUUUCUAUCAUGUGGGUUAGACGGCCUUACCCUUGGGCAACUUGAUGUAAUAUUGUUUUUACAAAAGAAAUAUGUAAAGUAGGUCGAAUACAAUUUUCCAUUUCCUCUUUCACUUGACAAUACAUUUUGUAUAUCAUUCCAUAUAUGUCAACUUUAUGCUUUUUAAUAGCUGCAUGCUGUUCCAUAGUUGCAUGGUUAUACUAUAGUUUGUUGAUGAACAUUUUGGUUGUUUAAACAAAUACUGCCACAAGUAUUUAUUUCAAAAUACUUUAAUAGAUGAUGUAAAUCUAGUAAGUAUCCCAACAUUUACCAUACAACACUUUUUAAGUUGUGGUUAAAUAUAUAUAUAACAUAAAAUUUAUGAUUUUAACAAUUUUAAAGUAUAGAGUUUUGAGGUAUUACGUACAUUCACAUUGUGUGCAACAAUCACUACCAUUCAUCUUCAGGACUUUUUCAUCUUCCCCAGCUGAAACUUUGUACCCUUAAAGACUAACUCUGCAUUCCCACUUCAUUGCAGCCCCUUGCAACCACUCUUCUAUUUUCUGUCUCAAAGAACUCUACUCCUCUAGGUACCUCAUAUAAGUGGAAUAAUACAGUGUUUUUCCUUUUGUGACUGCCUUAUUUCACUUAGCAUAUGAUUUCUUCAAGGUCCACUGAUGUUGUAAGCAUGUAUCAUCAUUUCCUUCCUUUUUAAGGCUGAUAAUAUUUCACUAUAUGUAUAUACCACAUUUUGUUUAUUUAUUGGUUGAUGGAACUUGGGUUGCUUUUGACUAUUGUGAAUGAUGCUGCUAUGAAUGUAGGUAUACAAAUAUCUGUUUCAAUUCAUGCUUUCAAGUUUUUGGGGUUUAUAUUCAGAAGUGAAAUUAUUGGAUCAUAUGGUGAUUCUGUUUAAUUUUUUAAGGAACUGCUACAUUGUUACCCAUAGUAGCAUUUGAGUCAUUUUUAAUAAAAUAAAAGCCAUAUAUAUUUUUUUAUUUAUUUAUAUGUAUCUGUAUUAUAUAUAUUUAUAUAUCUGUAUUUUAUAUAUAUAAAUAGCUUAUAUAUAUAUAAAUAGCCAUAUAUAAAUGGCCCUAUCCUACAGAAAUGCUUUACAUAAAGGUACAGAUAUCUGUAGGAUAGGGCUGGGAACAGUGGCUCACACUUGUAAUCCCAGCACUUUGGGAAGUCGAGGGGGAAGGAUAGUUUGAGGCCAGGUGUUCAAGACUAGCCUGGUCAACAUAAUGAGACCCGGUCUGUACAAAAAAUAAAAAGUUAGCUAGGUAUGAUGGUGUGUGCCUAUAGUUCUAGCUACUCAGGAGGCUGAAGCAGGAGGACUGCUUAAGCCCAGAAGUUCAAGGUUACAGUGAGCUAUGAUAGCACCACUGUACUCCAGCCUAGGCAACACAGUGAGACCCUUUCUCUAAAAAUAAAUAAAAUGAAACAAGAUACUAUAUAUUACUGUUUGUUUUUUGCUGUUCCAUUGGAAUACAUCUCUUUUACUGAGCUGAGAACAUGCCAUUUUAUUUAUUGUGGCUUGGUAUCACCUUUAAACAUAUAUUAAAUCUAAUCCUUCUCUCUAUAACUCUUAUUAAAAUUGUUGUUGUUCUUGGCUAUUCUCACUUGAAUAUUCUCUCAGAUAAACUUCAGAAACAUUUGUUCAAGUUUAUUAAAAUUCCAUUAGGAUGCCAUUGAAUUUACAGAUUAAUUUAGGAAAAUUGACAACUGAAAAUAU